UUUGUAGGUUCAUUACAACCAUUGUUCAAAUUCAUAAUCAAAAGCAAGCACUACUGCUGUAGUAGUAUGUCACGCAGUCUUGCUUUCCCUGACUUUGCAUCAAGAUUGUGAAGAUGUGAUCCGCUUUUUUUAAGAAUUUUGGGCAAAUUUAUCAAAUUAAUUUGGAAGCUCUACAUAAAGGGGAAAGAGUGAAAAAGUCAUUCAGUGACAAGACAUAGCCUGGUGAAUAACUUUAAACUCAUUCUCAAAAAACAUCAGUGAGAUAAAAGGCUCCACAGACACUUUAGUUUUUAUCUAUCCCCACCAGGUUUAGGAAUAUAAUAUGAACUUCUUAGGAAUUCUUUGGGUGACGGAUUUUUUUAAAAGAAGAUAGAAAAUUUGCUGAUUGCUUAUACUUGUCAUGCAAUUAAAGUAAGAGCAUUUCAGUUUCACAUUUAGAGCAUAAAGUGGCUGUUAAAGGAGUCAGCAAUGUGUUUGUUUUCUUCCUUCAGCCCAGUGUCCUAACUUGAUAGAGAAACAUCUUGUGUAUGGCUUGCAGAUGAGGAAUCCAAACUGUCUACAGCACAGGAUCAGACAAACCAAUCCUAGACAGUGUUGCAAAGUCAGCGGUCCAUUCAAGUAUCAUUUACUUGGCAAAAGCUGUUGGUACAGAUGUCUAACUUCAAAAACAGAGGAAGCACGGAGGACUGGAGUGACUCCCGUAGCUGUUGGUGGUAUUUUCUCCUUCAUCCUAGAGUUCUGCUUGCCUGAGGAUCUGCAACUAGUUUCUACAAUAAACAUACAGAAAGAAAGAACUGAGAUCAGAUAGGUCCCUCCAGAUGGAUGAAUGCAACUAGACUAAGAUUAACACACAAGAAGGAAGAGUCUGGCAUCAGAAUUGCAUAUCAUUAAAAGAGACCAGCAACUGAACAGUAAGUGGCAUCUCAAUACAUCAUGAAGCCCCAUAAUACGGCAUCUAAGUCAGAACACUCGCUAGGCCAGUAGUUUUGACUAAGAGAGAAUCUUAACUAGUGAGGUUCACCCACAUGAAAGAGGAACAUGAUAGCUGUAACCUCAAAAAAGGAAACUAGAAAAAAAUCGGAAUAUGAAGUACAGAAAUAUUAUUUAUCAUGUUGUUAUUUAGUAUUUAUACCACGAUAACCACUGCUAAAGGGUUUUGUCCUCGCUAGCUAAUGGUUUUAUUAACAUGUAUUUAUGCUGGGUGUUUCUGCCAAGCCUCCAAUUACACCACCUUGUACACUAAUUGUAAACUGACUUGGUAUUGUCACAAAACUGCCACAGGUUGAUGCCUUCAGACAGAAAAAUCAUUGUGACCAUGCCUCUAGGGUGCAGCAGACAAGAUAUUGUAAUAAGAAGUUAUAGCCCUUUGGAUUAGGAGGGAAGAAAAUCUUCAACCAAACUAAUGCAACGAUGUCUUCCCGCAUCUGCAAGCUGCUCUGUGUUUUUGAAGCCAUGCAUACCUUUCUGAAGCAGGAUGCAAGUCAACUCACAAGAUUCUGUUCACUUUCACAGCUGAUACUCAGAAUUCAGCAAUUAUAUUGAUUCUGAAGAUUCUUUAUCAGUUCUGUUGCAUGGGAAUGGGCAAUCUUUGGAGCUAGAAAUGGUGAAUAGAGUAUCAAAGAGGUUAGUCUUCAAACUUGACUCGUGUUAGACAGAGAUCAAUCCAAAAGAUAGCUCCUGGAAAGUAUCAGGAACACCACUGAAACAAGAGUACUCAAAGAUUUCCAUGGAGCUGAGGCCACAGUCCUCAGUCCACUGUGAUAGGGUCUAUGAGAUGAUGCCUUAAUUUUUAUUCUAACGGUAACAAAUCCAACAAAAAAGAAAUAUAUUCAAUGUGAACAGAAAGGGAAGAGCCCAUCAUUGUGAGUCAAAUCAAAGUGAGUGGCCGAUGCUUAUAAGCCUCUUACUAACUAAUCCUUUGUUCUCUUUCACUUUGAUUUUGUCUUAGCUAAUCUAGAUAGAAAUGCUAUUAUACAAACCCAAAAGCGGGUUUUUGAAGGUAACAGCUUACCUGCAAGCAGAAACUUUAACAAAUGUUAAUUGCAAGUCAAAAUGAAGACUGGAACUGUGGUCACAUAUUCUUUAAACUGAGGAAAUUCUUCAGGCAAAUUCAAAUUAUUCACUCAGUUACAUUCUCUUCAGAACUAACAAGCAGUUCUCUCCUAACUGUUCUCUUUGCUUAUUUGAAUCUGUAAGAAUGUCCUCCUUGAUAAACAAACUAAACACAAAGGACUCCACACAACUCUAAUAUUCCUAUUAGCUUAUUCAACAGAUAGGAAAGUGGACAGCAGAUAUAAAGGUGACAGUACUUUUAGGGAUGUACCAUACAGAAAAUAAAUUAAAAAGCCAAAAGCUAUGGUCAGGUUAGCAAGCUGCUCUGCAAACAAAUUAAUUUUUCUGAUGGGCUCUUAAGACUUAUCAUAGUCUCCCCUUUCUCCUUUCCCUCAAUACUGUAAAGGAUGAUCCACAAAAAUGCCCUCUUUCUGUCCGACAGCUUUUCACAUUAAAGUCCCUCCUAACAUACAAUGGAGAUGUGAGACUUCCCACACAGUGCUACAUCAUGUUUACAGAAAGGGGACUGUUACUAGCACCUAGAUCCUUAGAGGGAUCUAGACAUUCUCACUUCUGAUCAUGUUAUUUUGAGGUUAAGCUCUACACUGGUUUAAUGAAAUGUACCUGUAUAAAAAGCAAAUUCAGCAUGAGACAACUUGGUUCAUUUCAGUGAACUUGAGAAGGGAAGGAUAAAGCAGGCAUGAGAACAAACUGAAACAGGUUUCUGAGCAACAGCAGCAUGAUGAUUUAGAUAUCUGGUAUCAAACCCAAGGUCAAACGUAUCAUUUCUUUCCUCCCUGAUGGCUUUUACCUUCAGGAGUUUGGCACUGGAUAUUAAGCAUUUGUCUUUUCCCAAGCAAGCAGUUUUCCAUUAUGGUUUGGUGAUGGCACAACAGACAAUGGGGUGUCUCAAGAUUUUUUUUUUUUUUUAAGCACAGUACAAUAUCACAUACAAGUCCUGUAGUUUGUUUAGUCUCUCAUUUUUACAAUUAAUACAUUAAGGGAACUGAGGUUGCCGCUACCUGGAAGCUAAUAUAAACCUGGAAGGUUUAUAGAAGCAAUACAGGUGCUAACAACCAAAGCACUAUACUGUUCUAGAUUUGGGUCCCAGCCUGCCUUUGCAUACAAGGUCAAUGCCAACAAGUGUUUUAUAGAGUUGGUCCUUGUCUGAAGUUCAAUAGCUGCCACAAAAGGACAAAUACACUACGGCAUUUUAAGAUCAAUAUUAUUUCUCAUCUUCCAAACAGAAGCAAAGGAAAAUGCAUGACAUUUUUGAUAUGUUGUUUUCCAAAGAAUAUGAUGUUCUGUAAUUUGUGAUAGUAGUAAACACAAAAGGGAAUACUAAUCUUUUCUUAUCCUUUUGUUUGUCUGAUAGCAUUUCAUUAACCAUACUCAACUGAUACAAUCGCUGUAAUCACCUUUUUCCUCCUGGUUUCAAAUACAAACUUUUGCACUGUGUGUAUACCUUACUUCUGAAAACAUGAUUUUAAAGGCAGAAAUCCAUUUAUAAAUCAGUGAGUUACUACUCAACAUUGUAUAGUACAACUACUCAAAGUACGGUCAUUAACCUGUUAUCUAAAGUAUCUGUAAGUUGCAACUGUGAAAUAAUUCCCAGAACUGGGAAUUCCCUGCUCCAAGCACUUAUGACCUUAGGAAAAGGCAGGCUAAGACCACACUAACAAUAUAAGUGGAACAGACAAGGAUACAAAAAUGAUGACAAACUGUGAACAUUUGUUCUUUGCUUAAUAAAGAAAAUACCACACCGAGAAAUAUCUACCAUGUCCCGCAAUCUGUGAUAAAUUCUUAAUUUUUAAUCAGUGUCUUAUUUAGUUCCAUGUUUCUGAGUAUCAGGUACUUAGAGAAACAAGAAUGAAACAUUAGAAUGAUGCAGGUCUGGGUGUAGAU